UGGGGAAUCUUGGACAAUGGGCGCAAGCCUGAUCCAGCCAUGCCGCGUGGAUGAUGAAGGCCCUAGGGUUGUAAAAUCCUUUCGUUGGGGACGAUAAUGACGGUACCCAAAGAAGAAGCUCCGGCUAACUUCGUGCCAGCAGCCGCGGUAAUACGAAGGGGGCUAGCGUUGUUCGGAUUUACUGGGCGUAAAGCGCGUGUAGGCGGGUCGUUAAGUUGGGGGUGAAAUCCCGAGGCUCAACCUCGGAACUGCCUUCAAAACUGGCGACCUGGACUCAAGUAGAGGCAAGUGGAAUUGCGAGUGUAGAGGUGAAAUUCGUAGAUAUUCGCAGGAACACCAGUGGCGAAGGCGACUUGCUGGACUUGUAGUGACGCUGAGACGCGAAAGCGUGGGGAGCAAACAGGAUUAGAUACCCGGGUAGUCCCUGAGCGGGCUGGCAAGGCGCAU
rnacentral:rRNA from 1 species